UACGUAGGGUGCAAGCGUUGUCCGGAAUUAUUGGGCGUAAAGAGCUCGUAGGCGGCUUGUUGCGUCGGCUGUGAAAACCCGCGGCUUAACCGUGGGCUUGCAGCCGAUACGGGCGGGCUGGAGUUCGGUAGGGGAGACUGGAAUUCCUGGUGUAGCGGUGAAAUGCGCAGAUAUCAGGAGGAACACCGGUGGCGAAGGCGGUUCUCUGGGCAUUACCUGACGCUGAGAAGCGAAAGCAUGGGGAGCGAACAGG
rnacentral:rRNA from 1 species